AUGCUCAGAGGAGAGGUAAAAUUCUAUUUCAAGGGCAGCGCUAUUUAAAUCUCUAAAUUCAUGGCUAUAAAAAAGGAUUAGAUACCCUUCUAUACUUGAAGACCUGACCUUAAAUAGUAAGAAUUAUAUGUUUGAAACUUAAAGAGUUUGGCGGCUUUUAGUAUUUAUCAGAGGAACUUGUACCUUAAUCGUCAGUACGCGCUAGAUCUUACUUAGCAAGUGUUUGUAUACCGCCGUCUAAAUAACCUAAGAAAAGUAGAAUUUAAAGCAGAGAUAAGAACGUCAGGUCAAGGUGCAGCGUUGCUAAGAGGGUUACAAGUUACAUUAAAGUAAAGAUUGGAUUAGCCCUGAAACCUGCUAUGAAAUUGGAUUUGAAAGUAAUUGCAAAUUAGAACACUGCAAUAAAUUUAUCUAAAAGUGCACAUAUCGCCCGUCACUCU
rnacentral:rRNA from 1 species